rnacentral:rRNA from 1 species
UGGCGGACGGGUGAGUAACGCGUGGAUAACCCGCCGUAUACUGGGGGAUAACACUUAGAAAUAGGUGCUAAUACCGCAUAAGCGCACAGUCUCGCAUGAGACGGUGUGAAAAACUCCGGUGGUAUACGAUGGAUCCGCGUCUGAUUAGCUUGUUGGCGGGGUAACAGCCCACCAAGGCGACGAUCAGUAGCCGGCCUGAGAGGGUGAACGGCCACAUUGGGACUGAGACACGGCCCAAACUCCUACGGAAGGCAGCAG